CCUACGGGAGGCUGCAGUAGGGAAUAUUGCUCAAUGGGGGAAACCCUGAAGCAGCAACGCCGCGUGGAGGAUGAAGGUUUUCGGAUUGUAAACUCCUUUUGUGAGAGAAGAUAAUGACGGUAUCUAACGAAUAAGCACCGGCUAACUCCGUGCCAGCAGCCGCGGUAAUACGGAGGGUGCAAGCGUUACUCGGAAUCACUGGGCGUAAAGAGCGCGUAGGCGGGAUAGCAAGUCAGAUGUGAAAGCCUAUGGCUUAACCAUAGAACUGCAUUUGAAACUGUAAUUCUAGAGUAUGGGAGAGGUAGGUGGAAUUCUUGGUGUAGGGGUAAAAUGCGUAGAGAUAAAGAGGAAUACUCAUGGCGAAGGCGACCUGCUAGAACAUAACUGACGCUGAUGCGCGAAAGCGUGGGGAGCAAACAGGAUUAGAUACCCUUGUAGUC
rnacentral:rRNA from 1 species